GGAUGUUGGAGUGAUAAUGACCUAAUAACAGCUGAUUGCUAGUUCACAGAGAGGACUGCGUGUUGCGUUCACGGCCCGGCUUGCGCGUGGAUUUGAGCGAGCGUUUUGAGCGCGGUCGCAUCCAGCGAGGCUGAAGCCGCGGCCGUGACGAACGCAGAUUAAAUCCUCUGAGAGGUGUUUUGCCUUAAGCAGCCAGCUGCUGGAGUCCCGUGCAGUGGAAAGUGGCCUAAGGAUAAUUAUGUAAAGUAGAGUCCCGACGGCGCCCGUGCCCGUUCACGGCGAACAGCGUUACAGUCAACUGCCAAUCUGGGCCCUGCUGUUCGGGGCCUCGCCUGCUGACAAAUGGCCCGGAGGAGAGGUCCGAGGAGAGUCCUGUCAGAGGCAGCGAGCCUCUGCAGCGAUGCUGGCGAAGGCGGAGGCGGAGGCGGAGGAGGCGCUCGCCAAAUAGAUCUCAGCAGAAACCUCCGACGCUGAGCGCUCCGGUCCCUGGCACCGGCGCCCGAUCCGUUUGUGUCAACGCGGGGAGAUGCUGACGCUCCAGAUGUGCGCGAUUCAAAUCCGUCAGC
rnacentral:lncRNA from 1 species